rnacentral:lncRNA from 9 species
CACCAGGGUGAUGACCCCACGGGCUGAUGGAGGAAGAUCCAUCCCGCUGUAUCUUCCUGUUGCUCUGGAUUCUCAGGGCUCUAUGCAAGCCCGUUGGCUGGAGUCUGGGCGUCUGGGGCGUGGAGCUGACUGGCGCUGAACCGUCUCCUUCGCCAGGGGUUUGAAUUGGGCUUCUUGGCUCAGUCUCCAACCACUGGAAUUUAUCAGCCGCAAGUUUCUAGGAAAUGCAAAUUAAGAGCCUCAAAGAAACACAGGAGGAUUUCUUAAGAGGAGAAGGACUAGGAUGAGCUUCCUCUGCAGGCUUAAGAAAGGGUCCCUGGGGCAUCAGGCACUGCAUUGGAAGACUAGCUUUAGUCUGCCUAGACAUGCCUGGGGAAGAUGACAAUCUGUACAGAAAUGUUUUGAAAGGCGGGGAAGGGCUGUCCCGCUGCAGGGUACAAUCUACAGGGUGGAGCAGGGAGCUGUUGGUGCUGCAGGUCCAAUUCCAGCACACUCACCCCUCCAAACCCAGAGCUCAGUGGGUUAGGAACCCAACUAGUAUCCAUGAGGAUGUGAGUUCAGUCCCUGGCCUCACUCAGUGGGUUAAGGAUCUGGCGUCACUACAAGUUGCGGCAUAGGUGGCAGAUGUGGCUCGGAUCCCGCGUUGCUGUGCCUGUGGCGUAGGCUGGUAGCUAUGGCUCCAACUGGACCCCUAGCCUGGGGACCUCCAUAUGCUGCAGAUUUGAACCUGAAAAAGAGAGCUUUCCUGUGCUGCCAGUUGAUGCUCCCCCCCCCACCCCCAUCCCACCCCCACGAAGACCUAGGCCUGCUCCUCACGUGGAUGCCGGCACAAGGACUUCUCAAAACCAGGAGUGAGAAUGCACUUCAGCUUUCGCGUUUCUGUUCUCAACCCCUGAACGUGCCCUUGGCCCUCUUCAGGGGCUCCAUGAUUCAGAAAGACAUCGGAGACGCAUGCGGGUGGAUGCUUGCACAUUCAUGACCUGUCUCUAGUAAUACUUAUGCCACAAUCUACCCCUUUUUCUCCCCUGCUCUUGCUUACACGACCACCUUCAGAGUCUAGUGCCGUCUUACAGGUGGGACGAUGGAGGAGAGAGUGAUUUCAUGCUAUGCACCUCCCACAGUUGCAUGUGUGUUUUAUUCUACUCCAGUUAGGCCCUUGCAUGCUUGUGUCAUGUAAGAAGCUCAGGGUGGACCUGUCCUCUGAGCAUCCUUCUUUGGUGUCCAAUGUUCCUGACACCCUGCAGGCUCCCACAGAGCUUUGACCUUGUCUGUUAGAGCACUGCUCACGAUGCACUUGAUCAGGAGCUGGGAGCAUUCACGACCUAGUGAAUCCUUUCUCAGGACUGACGCCUGACCACCUGGAUGUGUCCCUCAGCUGGUCCAUGGGAGCCAUCCAGUAUCUGCCGAACAAAUGAUUGAACUUAUUAUGGGAAAAGUUUGGGAGCUAGAAACCUGGCCCUCUUUCUCUGUGUGCCUCUGAUUAGCCUUUGUCUCUGUAGAAAGUAUAUUCUAGAGUUCUCGUGGUGGCUCAGCGGGUUUAAAACCUGACAGUGUCCAUGAGGAUGCAGGUUCGCUCCCUAGCCUCCCUCAGUGGGUUAAGGAUCUGGCAUUUUUAUCGUGAGCUGUGGCACAGGUCACAGACGUGGCUCAGAUCCCGUGUUGCUGUGGCUGUGGUGUAGGCUGGCAGCUGCAGCUCUGAUUCAGCCCCUAAUCUGGGACCUUCCAUAUGCCUUGGGUGUGGCC